AGAUUGAACGCUGGCGGCGUGCCUAACACAUGCAAGUCGAGCGGCAGCGCGGGAGCAAUCCUGGCGGCGAGCGGCGGACGGGUGAGUAACGCUUGGGAAUCUGCCUAUUAGUGGGGGACAACCCGGGGAAACUCGGGCUAAUACCGCAUACGCACUACGGUGGAAAGCCGGGGACCGCAAGGCCUGGCGCUAACAGAUGAGCCCAAGUCGGAUUAGCUAGUUGGUAGGUAACGGCCUACCAAGGCGACGAUCCGUAAACUGGUCUGAGAGGACGACCAGUCACACCGGAACUGAGACACGGUCCGGACUCCUACGGGAGGCAGCAGUGGGGAAUAUGGACAAUGGGCGAAAGCCUGAUCCAGCGACGCCGCGUGGGUGAAGAAGCCUGCGGUUGUAAAGCCCUUUCAGUGGGAAAGAAAAGCCUCGAGUUAACACCUCGGGUCUUGACGUAACCCAUAAGAAGAAGCACCGCUAAACUCUGUGCCAGCAAGCCGAC
rnacentral:rRNA from 1 species